rnacentral:rRNA from 1 species
GACGAACCGUGCGAACGUUGUUCGGAAUCACUGGGCUUAAAGGGCGCGUAGGCGGACCUCCAAGUCCGGGGUGAAAUCUUUCGGCUUAACCGGAAAAGUGCCUUGGAUACUGGGGGUCUCGAGGGAGGCAGGGGCGGAUGGAACUUCCGGUGGAGCGGUGAAAUGCGUUGAUAUCGGAAGGAACGCCGGUGGCGAAAGCGAUCCGCUGGACCUCUACUGACGCUGAGGCGCGAAAGCCAGGGAGCAAACGGG